rnacentral:tRNA from 1 species
GCACUCUUAGUUCAGUUAAGUAGAACGUAGGUCUCCAAAACAUGAUGCCUUAGGUUCAAAUCCUACAGAGCGUG